ensembl:processed_transcript Gm11650 predicted gene 11650
AACCCUAGACUCCUCCCGCCCCCACGCCAGCCUCCACCUCCCCCAGGGGCGCCGGCGAGGCCCCUGGGGAUCGCUCCGCUCUCGGGUUGCGCGCGCGUGCGCUUCAUUCACAUUAUUAGAGCGAAGGAAGCCGAGGGAAAGAAAGAUUGGUUCCCUGGAAGGACCCCGGGGAAGCUGCGUCUCCAGUCACCUCUCUUUCCAACCCGGGACAGCCAGGAUCUCCUUAGUCCCCAGGAUUCUGUAUCCCAUUCUGUGGGAUGGAGAUUGCGUCCCCUUUCCUUCUUUCCCCACGGCCUUAUGGCUGUACCUGGUUAUGAAGGUCUAGGCAGGGAUGUACUGUGAGACUCCUCGCGUUUCCAAAGGGCCCAGAUGUGGGUCACAGACGGGAGACAUUCUUUAUGGGCCAAGCCAGAUGAAGAUCACCUCCAUUUCAACCGAAGCAAGCCAAGGGGUUCUAGCAGGCACUGGGGAGCUCUGGACUUCUUCGAAGGGGGACUGAGGAUGUGACACACUACAGUCACACUUCUGAUAGUCCAUUGCUGAUAGAGGCAGGAACACCAGCAACUACAUUGUAGCCUCCAGCUGUUUCUUCUCCCUGUCCUUCUCUGAACCUUUACUUUUUCUCCGGUUGGCUCUUCCUCAGCCUAACCGGCUCUUCCUCACCUCCCCUUAACCUUGUCAGACUCUGCCUCGGGGCCUCUGGCCUCUUCCCUUAAUUGCUUUUGGUGCUGGCAGGGUCCCAAGCUGGAUACACUCCGAGCUCCUUGGAGCCAGGCUCCUUCCUUGCCACCCAGUUCCCCUCCUCCCCUGCAGGAGGCCUGAAACCCACGGGGGAGGGGGGGAACUCAGGCCAUUUCUUACACCCUUGUCCCUGUUGCAUCCUCGAGGGUUGUUCUGUGGGCUGCUGUUCUGACCCCCUGGGAUUGAAAGAGACACAUGGAAAGCUGCUGCCCUUGCAAUUUUACCUCCCGGGCCACUUUCCCAGCUUUCCUCAGAGAAAAUAAAUGAAUGACCCCAGCCUCAGAGCACUCACUGUUCUUCCUCUCUGGAGAGUGUGAGCUCCCCCCUCGUAUAUAGCCGUGUGUGGUAGCAAUGUGCAAAUGUUUGCCCUGGGAAAAAUUAUCUUUUGCUGGGAGAAGGGAAUAU